GAUGAACGCUGGCGGCGUGCCUAAUACAUGCAAGUCGAGCGAACGGACGAGAAGCUUGCUUCUCUGAUGUUAGCGGCGGACGGGUGAGUAACACGUGGAUAACCUACCUAUAAGACUGGGAUAACUUCGGGAAACCGGAGCUAAUACCGGAUAAUAUUUUGAACCGCAUGGUUCAAAAGUGAAAGACGGUCUUGCUGUCACUUAUAGAUGGAUCCGCGCUGCAUUAGCUAGUUGGUAAGGUAACGGCUUACCAAGGCAACGAUGCAUAGCCGACCUGAGAGGGUGAUCGGCCACACUGGAACUGAGACACGGUCCAGACUCCUACGGGAGGCAGCAGUAGGGAAUCUUCCGCAAUGGGCGAAAGCCUGACGGAGCAACGCCGCGUGAGUGAUGAAGGUCUUCGGAUCGUAAAACUCUGUUAUUAGGGAAGAACAUAUGUGUAAGUAACUGUGCACAUCUUGACGGUACCUAAUCAGAAAGCCACGGCUAACUACGUGCCAGCAGCCGCGGUAAUACGUAGGUGGCAAGCGUUAUCCGGAAUUAUUGGGCGUAAAGCGCGCGUAGGCGGUUUUUUAAGUCUGAUGUGAAGGCCCACGGCUCAACCGUGGAGGGUCAUUGGAAACUGGAAAACUUGAGUGCAGAAGAGGAAAGUGGAAUUCCAUGUGUAGCGGUGAAAUGCGCAGAGAUAUGGAGGAACACCAGUGGCGAAGGCGACUUUCUGGUCUGUAACUGACGCUGAUGUGCGAAAGCGUGGGGAUCAAACAGG
rnacentral:rRNA from 1 species